rnacentral:rRNA from 1 species
AGAGAUGUGGAGGAAUACCAGUGGCGAAGGCGGCCACCUGGACAGUAACUGACGCUGAGGCGCGAAAGUGUGGGUAGCAAACAGGAUUAGAUACCCUGGUAGUCCACGCCCUAAACUAUGUCAACUGGUUGUCGGGGGAUUAAUUCCCUUGGUAACGAAGCUAACGCGUGAAGUUGACCGCCUGGGGAGUACGGCCGCAAGGUUAAAACUCAAAGGAAUUGACGGGGACCCGCACAAGCGGUGGAUUAUGUGGAUUAAUUCGAUGCAACGCGAAAAACCUUACCUACCCUUGACAUGCUAGGAAGCUCGCAGAGAUGUGAGUGUGCCCGAAAGGGAACCUAGACACAGGUGCUGCAUGGCUGUCGUCAGCUCGUGUCGUGAGAUGUUGGGUUAAGUCCCGCAACGAGCGCAACCCUUGUCAUUAGUUGCUACAUUGAGUUGGGCACUCUAAUGAGACUGCCGGUGACAAACCGGAGGAAGGUGGGGAUGACGUCAAGUCCUCAUGGCCCUUAUGGGUAGGGCCUCACACGUAAUACAAUGGCCGGUACAGAGGGCUGCCAACCCGCGAGGGGGAGCUAAUCUCAGAAAGCCGGUCGUAGUCCGGAUUGUUCUCUGCAACUCGAGAGCAUGAAGUUGGAAUCGCUAGUAAUCGCGGAUCAGCAUGUCGCGGUGAAUACGUUUCCGGGGCUUGUACACACCGCCCGUCACACCAUGGGAGUGGGUUCCACCAGAAGUAGGU